CAACUUUCAACAACGGAUCUCUUGGCUCUCGCAUCGAUGAAGAACGCAGCGAAAUGCGAUAAGUAAUGUGAAUUGCAGAUUUUCAGUGAAUCAUCGAAUCUUUGAACGCACCUUGCGCUCCUUGGUAUUCCGAGGAGCAUGCCUGUUUGAGUGUCAU
rnacentral:rRNA from 4 species